rnacentral:rRNA from 1 species
UACGUAGGGUGCGAGCGUUGCCCGGAUUUAUUGGGCGUAAAGGGUGCGUAGGCGGUUUUGUAAGUCUUGUGUGAAAUCUUCAGGCUCAACUUGAAGACUGCACGAGAAACUGCAGGGCUUGAGUGUGGGAGAGGUGAGUGGAAUUCCUGGUGUAGCGGUGAAAUGCGUAGAUAUCAGGAGGAACACCUGUGGCGAAAGCGGCUCACUGGACCACAACUGACGCUGAUGCACGAAAGCUAGGGGAGCAAACAGG